AGAUUGAACGCUGGCGGAAUGCUUUACACAUGCAAGUCGAACGGCAGCACGGGGGCAACCCUGGUGGCGAGUGGCGAACGGGUGAGUAAUACAUCGGAACGUGCCCAGUCGUGGGGGAUAACGUAGCGAAAGCUACGCUAAUACCGCAUACGAACUCUGGUUGAAAGCGGGGGACUCGCAAGAGCCUCGCGCGAUUGGAGCGGCCGAUGGCAGAUUAGGUAGUUGGUGGGUAAAGGCUCACCAAGCCUGCGAUCUGUAGCUGGUCUGAGAGGACGACCAGCCACACGUGGGACUGGACGACGACCGGCCCAGACCUCCGUACGGGAGCAGCGAGGUGGGUAAUUUGGACUAAGUCGGGACGCGAACGGUCCUGACUCCGA
rnacentral:rRNA from 1 species